rnacentral:rRNA from 1 species
GACGAACGCUGGCGGCGUGCCUAAUACAUGCAAGUAGAACGCUGAAGAGAGGAGCUUGCUCUUCUUGGAUGAGUUGCGAACGGGUGAGUAACGCGUAGGUAACCUGCCUUGUAGCGGGGGAUAACUAUUGGAAACGAUAGCUAAUACCGCAUAACAAUGGGUGACACAUGUCAUUUAUUUGAAAGGGGCAAUUGCUCCACUACAAGAUGGACCUGCGUUGUAUUAGCUAGUAGGUGAGGUAACGGCUCACCUAGGCGACGAUACAUAGCUGACCUGAGAGGGUGAUCGGCCACACUGGGACUGAGACACGGCCCAGACUCCUACGGGAGGCAGCAGUAGGGAAUCUUCGGCAAUGGGGGCAACCCUGGCCGAGCAACGCCGCGUGAGUGAAGAAGGUUUUCGGAUCGUAAAGCUCUGUUGUAAGUCAAGAACGAGUGUGAGAGUGGAAAGUUCACACUGUGACGGUAGCUUACCAGAAAGGGACGGCUAACUACGUGCCAGCAGCCGCGGUAAUACGUAGGUCCCGAGCGUUGUCCGGAUUUAUUGGGCGUAAAGCGAGCGCAGGCGGUUUGAUAAGUCUGAAGUUAAAGGCUGUGGCUCAACCAUAGUUUGCUUUGGAAACUGUCAAACUUGAGUGCAGAAGGGGAGAGUGGAAUUCCAUGUGUAGCGGUGAAAUGCGUAGAUAUAUGGAGGAACACCGGUGGCGAAAGCGGCUCUCUGGUCUGUAACUGACGCUGAGGCUCGAAAGCGUGGGGAGCGAACAGG